rnacentral:misc_RNA from 1 species
AACUAUCAAGCCAGGAUGCUUUAUUGCUUCCUGGCCUUGGUUUAUUGGGCUUUGCCGUGCCCUUCAUUGGGAACGGCUGGCCUUAAAAGCAUUAGCUGACUCCAUGUGGUUAUUGGUAUUCUACUUGGCGUGAUAAUAAUCUGACCGCUGAGGAAGUGUCCUUUCGGGGAUGGCCAAUUUUCGUGUGGGGUUGCUUCUAAUCUCUGGAGCUCCUGUUCCAUUUUCAA